rnacentral:lncRNA from 1 species
CCCGCGAUUUAUAGGAACUUUCAGCAAGCUUCUCGCUCUGGUCCUGAACAACAACAAGUUCACAGGCAGUAUUCCCGGUGAUCUUGGAGGCUUACAUUCACUCAGACGGAUCGACCUGAGUAGCAACAGACUGUCGGGUACAAUACCGGCUCGGCUCGAGAACUUGAGAAUGCUGGAAGACUUGGAUCUGUCUGCAAACAAUCUGGAAGGCAACAUUCCCUCCCAGCUUGAACGGCUAACAAGUUUGGAGCACCUCAACGUGUCAUAUAAUAACCACUUACUAGCACCAAUCCCGUCGGCCUCGAGCAAAUUCAACAGUUCUUCCUUCCUGGGCCUCAUAAAUCGUAACACCACCGAGCUCGCCUGCGCAAUAAACUGUAAACAUAAGAACCAGCUUUCUACAACCGGUAAAACAGCCAUAGCAUGCGGGGUAGUAUUUAUAUGCGUUGCUCUAGCAAGCAUCGUUGCAUGCUGGAUCUGGAGACGUAGAAAAAAAAGGCGAGGAACCGACGACAGAGGCAGGACUCUCUUGCUGGAAAAGAUCAUGCAAGUGACAAACGGAUUGAAUCAAGAGUUCAUCAUAGGACAGGGUGGCUACGGAACUGUUUACCGAGCAGAAAUGGAGUCGGGAAAAGUUCUUGCUAUCAAGAAGCUC